UACGGAGGGUGCGAGCGUUGUCCGGAAUCACUGGGCGUAAAGGGCGCGUAGGCGGCCUGAUAAGUAGGGGGUGAAAUCCUGCGGCUUAACCGCAGGGCUGCCUUCUAAACUGUCAGGCUCGAGCACAGUAGAGGCAGGUGGAAUUCCCGGUGUAGCGGUGGAAUGCGCAGAUAUUAGGAAGAACACCGGUGGCGAAGGCGGCUCUCUGGAACGGUACUGACGCUGAGACGCGAAAGCGUGGGGAGCGAACAGG
rnacentral:rRNA from 1 species